rnacentral:rRNA from 1 species
UACAGAGGGUGCGAGCGUUGUUCGGAAUUAUUGGGCGUAAAGAGCUCGUAGGCGGUUCGUCGCGUCUGCUGUGAAAACUCGGGGCUCAACCCCGAGCCUGCUUCCGAUACGGGCAGACUAGAGGUAUGCAGGGGAGAAUGGAAUUCCUGGUGUAGCGGUGAAAUGCGCAGAUAUCAGGAGGAACACCGGUGGCGAAGGCGGUUCUCUGGGCAUUACCUGGCGCUGAGGAGCGAAAGUGUGGGGAGCGAACAGG